AGGUAAGAAGCACAGAGGUGAGCAAAAUCAUCUCAGUGGGAUCCAUCUAAAGGUGGGAGUAUGUGAAGUCUGGAGACACAAAGACCUGACAGAAAUAAAGCCAAGACCCCCUUCAGUUCUUUUUUAGCCACUUGGAAAUCAUUACUCUGAACAAAGGAACUCCACCAAAAGACUCCUUAACAGUCCAAAGAGAAGAAAGAGGGCAGAAGGUUAUGGUCAGGGUGGACAAGACCAGACCCCAAGUGGAUCUGAAGCCCACCAGCACAGCCAAGGUGUUUCCCAUUGCUCACUGCCUUCUCUGCACUCUGCCUCCAGCACCAGCGGCACAGGGGCCUCCUCAAGAGUCACCAAGUCCAUUUAUACUUUAUGAAUCAACUGCCAUCAGUCCUGAGACCCUUACUAAAAACAGCUGCACCUAAGCAAGGUGUGUUUCCAACACCAGAAAGAGGCUUUAAAAAGUUGACACGAGAAAACAAGGGCUGCACUUCCCAACUCUGAGCCCAGGGUAUCGUGGCCCCUGCCAAUACUGGACCCACCCACACCCCGUUGCUCCAGGCACCAGAGAACAGACCUGUCUUCUCCCACCCAGAUCAGUUCCUUACUGUGCUGGCUUCAGUGUCACUUGGUUCAGAUUCAGACACCUGACCAGGAUAUGCAUCUACUGGCACCAUGGGUAUACGCCUCCUCCCCACUGGGCUCUUGAAGGGACUCACGCUGUGAAGCAGCUUCCAAAAAGUGACUUGAAAACCUGGGCAAA